CAUUUAAAUAUAUAAUUUUUUGUUUCUUUGGUCCAAAUCAAAAGCCCAAAACAAUUCUCAUCACAAACCCAUUUCAGCCCACAUAUUAUAAACAAAAACCAAACCCUAAAUCUAUCAACAGGCAGCAGCAUCACCAUCCCUGUCUGAAUAUCUUCUCUGCGUCUUUGUUCACUUUGUUUCUGUCCGAGAACUGCUACAUCGUCUCCACUCUACCAAUUUAACAAUCACAGCCCUCCCUACACACCUUUUUGCUUCCUUCUACCGAUGGUUUCAUUUUUUUUCUCCGGCGAGGUGGAAGUGGUUUGUUUUCAGAAGAUUCUUCAUCUGCAUGCACCAAUUUAUUUUUCCCCCAGCCUCCUUGGCUCCAUUUUUUCAGUUUUACCACUCACAUCAAUAGAUCUGAGAGAAAACUAAGUAAUUUCUAUUUUUUUUUGUCUCUCACUGUAUUAGUAAAUGGAAAGAAAAAGCAAGAGGAGGAUGUGGAUGAGACAGAAAGCUACCGAAUCAUUUUGGACCGUUCAGCCAAUGGGGCUUCCUUUUCCUUAUCAAAUGGCGAUGACUCUUUUUCUCCUCUGACUUCUGAUUCGUCCCAUCUUUCACUGCACUUCCCACCGUCAAACAGUUCUAGAUUUUCCGGCGCCAGAUGACGGUCAACAUGCUCGGCGGCGAUAGAAGGACCAGUGUGGAGGAAGAGUACACCCAGAGACACCACAGACAUGAGGUCGGAGAGAACCAGUGUAGCUCCUCGCUCGUUAACCACAUCAGAGCUCCUGUUCAUCUCAUGGUGCAGAAUUGAGACACAUAUCCAAAGCAAAACACUAACAUGGUGCAAAUCAAAUAGGAAGUGAAAAUUUGAUAGAGAUUGAAUUUAAAACAACAGGUUUCAGUGACAACAUAAUUCAGCACACCUUUGUGGUUUGUUGAGGAUGAAGCGGCACCAACAAUAAACUGCCCGUAAAUCUUCUUCUUUGAUCGUAGAAAUAUGAAAUAUGUUUUUUCAGUUUGUAUCUGAAUAGAGGUUGAAGUCUCUGUAUCUUCUAUAUAUAUAAGCGUGGAAUUGAGGACUC